rnacentral:rRNA from 1 species
UACGGAGGAUGCAAGCGUUAUCCGGAUUUAUUGGGUUUAAAGGGUGCGUAGGUUGAUUAAUAAGUCAGCGGUGAAAUCCAGUAGCUUAACUACUGAACUGCCGUUGAAACUGUUGGUCUUGAGUGUGAACGAGGUAGGCGGAAUUCGUAGUGUAGCGGUGAAAUGCAUAGAUAUUACGAAGAACUCCGAUAGCGCAGGCAGCUUACCAGGCCACAACUGACACUGAAGCACGAAAGUGUGGGUAUCAAAC